UCGACUUUGUCACCAAAGACGAGACCUCAAACUCAAUUCUCUCUUGCUGUCAAGCAUGCGUCGUCCCCACCCAUCUUCUCGAUUCUCCUUCUCUCCUCCUUGACGACAACACCGCCGUCGCGACAUCAUAGGGACGGGUUUAUGGUCGUCUGUGUACAAUCGAAGUCCAACUUUCGUAUUCCUUUCGGAGCUGUUGCAGCUGUCUCCGAAUAAAUCUCCUACCUCUGCUACUAUUCCUCACCGGAUUUGGUUUAUCUAGACGAAAUCAAAGAACAAGCUAGCCCAAAAGUUGGUGAGUCUCUCUCUUACUGCACAUCCGAUGCAAACACAUACAGAACAUGACCAUUACAAUAAGAAAGUUGGUUGGACUUUCGAGAAGUCGAAAUAUUUAAAUGAAAGGCUUUUGUUUGUAUCAUCAACAUGGUUUUGUUUUUAAAUAUUAGAAACUUAUUAUUUGAAGCUUAAGUUAUGGAAACGUGCUCAAUAGAUGUGUUUCCUGUGUUUUCAACACUUAAUCCUGACAAGUGAGUUGAAUUUAAGUUGCAAGAUACUGCAAGGGUUAGCCACAAUAAACAGUUAUUCAGGUAUAUCUCUAAUAUCAUACAUCUUUUUUUCA